rnacentral:rRNA from 1 species
AUUGAACGCUGUCGGCAUGCCUUACACAUGCAAGUCGAACGGUAGCAGGUCUUCGGAUGCUGACGAGUGGUGAACGGGUGAGUAAUACAUCGGAACGUGCUCGAUCGUGGGGGAUAACGAAGCGAAAGCUUUGCUAAUACCGCAUAAGAUCUACGGAUGAAAGCAGGGGACCGCAAGGCCUUGCGCGAACGGAGCGGCCGAUGGCAGAUUAGGUAGUUGGUGGGAUAAAAGCUUACCAAGCCGACGAUCUGUCGACUGUCUGAGAGGACGACCAGCCACACGGGGACUGAGACAUUGCCCAGACUCCUACGGGAGGCAGCAGUGGUGAAUUUUGGACAGUGGACGAAAGCCUGUUCCAGCCAUGCCGCGUGCAGGAUGAAUGCCUUCGGGUUGUAAACUGCUUUUGUACGGAACGAAAAGACUCUUUCUAAUAAAGAGGGUCCAUGACGGUACCGUAAGAAUAAGCACCGGCUAACUACGUGCCAGCAGCCGCGGUAAUAC